GGAGAGAUGUCCGAGUGGUUUAAGGAGCGCGCCUGGAAAGUGCGUAUGCCUCAAAAGGGCAUCGGGGGUUCGAAUCCCCCUCUCUCCG
rnacentral:tRNA from 1 species